ensembl:lncRNA
GCCCAGCCGAGGUUACUCGAAGCAAAACCCUGCCAAAAGUCUUCCUUGCUGCUAAUAUUUCCCCGACCUUGUCAUUAUCUGAAUUUCCCCUUCCUCUACUCCUUGAUAUAUCCCUCUAAUUUUGUCUCCCCGCUCAGCACUGGAGCAGUGAGGAAACACCACUAAGUUAUCACCAUAUUAUUCAUCUGAGGAAUCUGGCCAAGAAUUCUUUGGCCUAGCAGAACAGUCACAGCCAUCUGUCUGUCUGUUGUGCUAGAGAAGAAACAAGCACGCAAAAAGUAACCAAGAAAUGCUAUAUAUAUUUACUAUAUAGAAAGAAACCCAAGAGCCAUGAAAGUCAGAAACUAGCCACUGGAACUGGCAGUCGCAGGGAAUAUUAAGAUAGAGUUUCAGUCACUUCACUGAGACAUUUCAGAUGAGCCUGGUGAGCUAAAAGCCCUCCCUUUAUUGCCUUCAAAAGGGAAUUAAAAUAGCUAAGAGGUUGGUAUAGGGAAGUCAGUAAAAGUUAAAGAGCUCAUCAGACUGUCCCCUCACUUCCCAUCUGCCUAAUAGGAGCAUCAAUCUGCUCAAGGCACAGUGUCCCCGCAAGGGCGCCCUAGGACAGGUCCAGCUGGCAAAUGAGGUUAAUUGAUGCUUUCUCAUUGAGGUGGUUAGGACUCAGGUGUUGCGUGGGUUCCUCCUUCCCUCUUCUCAAGCAAUGCGAAGUCUUCUGGCAGCAGCUUGGUUCUUGCUGGCCGCAAGCAGUUUAUACCAAAUGCCAAAUGCUUGCAGUCAGGAAUUAAUGCUAGAGAUGGAGAGUGUUCCUUGCAAUGCAGUGCAGUGCCCCAGGAGGGCAAUGGGGGCUGUAGGCAGCCCAGAGGAGAGCAGGGAGGGAGGGCUAUCAACUGAAAGCAAUAAAAUAGUCCCUACUGCUCCCACCUGGAGUCGGUCCCAAGCACAUUGAAAAGCUCUUCUCUCCCUUCCUUGGUGUUUUCGAGCCAAAAGACGAGAAACUGAAAACUCUAAGAGGUGAAGACCCAUUCCAGCUUUUACUUGGCGUGAGUGCCUGAAGAGAUAAGAGACCUAAGCUCUCCUCUCUUAAUAGAUAAAGGGCGUUGUUACUGUUGAGCUCUCUCCAAGUUCAUGGAUUUCAUCUAUGUGACAAAGGGUAUCACAUGUGCUGGAUAUCAUUUAAUGUUUCCCUAGCCCAGACUGCCCCAGGAGUGCUGCUGAGGAAUGACUUUACACUGAAAACAGUCUCCUCUUUCUUCACAGGAAGACUCUGUUGUGGAGAGCACUGGAUGGUUUUCUCAACAGGCCAACUCAUGCUUCAUGAAAACAUUCACAGAUGCUUGCAGUGUUGAGGUUUAUGUCAGUUAUGGCCAUCAAAAGUCAUUUCUUCAUGAGAAAGAGGAACAGAUGGAAAAAGAGAGACCAGGAUGUGCUAGAGAUGACUCUCCAAUGCCUGUGGUACAUCAGGGGAAGGGCACUGCACAGCCAGCAGAGCUAUCCUUCCCCAAGGCAUAGCUGACAUAUCCCCUUGCCUGGGAGACCUGGCAAGUGAAUCUGACAUCAUUUCAUAGCUACCUGCAUGCCUUUCCUUUUUAAUUCACAGGCAUGGGAGUUCAUGUGGAAACUCCAAAGCUGUACUGGAACAAUGUGGGAACAUACAUAUAUAAGCCACAAUUCAGAAUCUAGUUCCACAUCUGCCCAUCUCAGGCUCUCUGCUGGAAAAGAAGCAUUUGGGGCAGAAGCUAUGUGAGAAUAAUGAAAGGAACAGACUUAUACUUUGACUCACUGAAAAAAUUGAGUUUCCUUAACAAACAGUGGAAUAGCAAUAAACUUCCCAGUAGGUAAAAGCAAACCCAUGCUGGUUACUGCUGUAUAUUCACAGCUGGCCUCACCUACCCUAUCUUGCCUGUGGGCAUGAGAUCAGUUCGUUCCACGAGUCACCCAGCUCUUGGUGCCAAAAAACUAAAGUUCCUGCCCAUCACAUCCAAGGCAGACAUUUCAAAGUUAAACACCUAGUCUGUUUUCAAUUUUUCCUUCAAAUACCAGAAGAGAUUGCACCACAUUAUGGGCUAAUCGCCUGUCAAAUUUAAUUUCUUAAGCUGAGGCUGCUUUAGAGCCAAGUGAAUGAAAAGGAAAAAAUAUCCUGUCCAAAUCCACUAAAUUAUUAUUUUUUAUGCCUGCGUAGUUACCUAGAAAUAGGAGCUCUUUCUUAACCUUCUUGUUUAACUUUAUGGCAAAUAUGUUACUGACAGAGUAGGGCAUUACAUGCAAAAUUUGAUCUUCCAAUAGGUCUUCAUGUCUAAAUUGUGAUGAACUAAAUUUCAUGAAAGUAGUUCUAGGUCCAGCUAGGAGCAAAGUCCUCCUCUGUAAUUAUUGCUGAAGAUCAAACACAGACCUUCGACUUUGCUCUGUUGGAGCAAGACUUCUCACUUUACAUAUAUCACUGUCCACCUAAGGAUCGCACAGUGACAUAAAGGUUUAAUGCUGUUCAGUCCUAGGAAGGGGUCCUGCUGAUUUAUCUGCUUGGUGUCCGCCACAGCAUGAUAAAUGCUAUUAACAGAGAGAACCGGGGCCUGAGGUGGAUUUUGUUGCAAACCUAAAACUAGGGUCAAACCCAAGUUCUCAUUCCUUAAAAUUUUGGUGGGUAGGUUUCAAAUUUUGACAGGAGGAUGAUGGAAGGACAUGUAGGUAUAAAUCCACACAUAACUGGAAAAAAUCUAAGAGUCUCUGUGUACCAGUCUUGGCUGGGAAUGUCUUGUAGCUCAGUUGUUAAAAUACCUAAAAAAUGGGUCUGGGCAUGGCUUAGCCUCUUGGUCCUGAGACCGUAAGAGCAAGCAGGACAAGAAAUGGAGAAAAUGGGAAAUUGAGACCAGAGCCCUUGGGAAGCUGGAAUGAGAAGGGAAACCUAAGGCUUCCUAAGGAAACUUUAAUUGAAACAGAAGUAAAAUCAGAGGCUUCCAGUAAAGACAGUAACUAUACAGCUAUCAAUAACUAUGAUAGCUUUGGGGCAGGGGUUAUGUCAAGUGAAUCUCAAAUUUCCAAUUUUCCAAUCCAGGUAGGUAUCGAUGGCAUUACUUUUUUUUUCUUUUUAACUUGUGGAAGAAAACACAAUACAAAAGCUAGAAAAAUUACUUGGAAGGAAACAUCUCUAUCAAAAAGGGAUUUAUUUUGGAGAAGUGCCAAAAAAAAAAAAUUAAAAAAUAAAAAAUUAAAAACAAAAAUUAAGAUUGCCUGCAAACCAGCUGAAAACCUUUGAUGUAACUGUAAUUAUUCUUGAUAUACCAUCAGAGAGACCAAGUCCAGCUCUGAUUUGCUGGUGUUUUUCAUCUGAGGAUCCCAACGUGCUUUAUAGCCUCCCACUGCCUUCUUUCUUGUAGGAAAGUAGAAGAGAAAUUUGUGACGGCUGAGUGCCUCAAGUCAUAUAGCCAACCAGUGACUGACAGAGCUACCAAGUGUCCUACCUCCCAGAUGCAGUCUAAGUUAUCAAUUUUCUCAUGUGAAUGUAGCCUAUAGCGAAUGAGAACUAUGAAAAAAAUUGAUUCCCAGCUCCCAUCGCCUUCCAGAAGUGUCCUCCCCAUUUUGUCAGUGGUCAUCUGCCCCGAAGUCUCUCUCAUUUCCACUUUGCAUAUCUUGGAUGGCUCAGUCCUCUCUGCUCACUGCUGAUUUAACUGCCUUCCAUUGCACUGAGCAUUGUAGCAACACUUUGCGUAGCCAGAGGUGGAAGUAUUUAAUGGGGAAUGAGGUGGGUGUUUCUGAAAUGAUAAGAAUAAUUGUAAAAUCUGCAGUUAUUUUUUGAAACUAUCAUUGGUAAACAGGCUAUCAGCCAAGAGCACGAGACCUAAAUAAGCCAUGCAGACGUGGCCUGAAAGAAAGGCUUGAGGGAAUUUUACCACAUUCUUCAAACAUUUUAAGAGAUAAUGGGCUGCACCUGAACACAGUGGUUUCACACAUGUUAACCUAUGCACAGUGAGAUAAAGUUUUACUCUCCUGCUGCUAUAGUAGAGCAAUACCGCCGAAGUCUCCACCAUACCCACACUCCUCCUGCACCCACUCUGCUUUCAUGUGCAGCUCACCCACGCAAGGAAGGAAAAGCACCAAACAUUCCCUUCUUGUCACCUGGAGGGAGGCUGCCGAAAUGGUUGGACCUCGUUCAGCAGCUGUCCCUGAUAGAUUCAUUCUGCUGGUGUACAUUCAUAUCCAUCCAUUCAGAUCUACCUCCUUUGUUGGAGCAGGUCUUACAGUGUAGUUUUCAGGCGAAGGAAUUGGUUACGCUGCUUAAGGCUUUGAGCAGCUCAGCACAGCAGGAUUUUGGAGGGCAGCUUUGCAGCAGGAAGGGCAGUGGUGUCAGGUGAAACACAAAGUGUGCUCACCAAACAAGCCCGGAAAUAUGACUGUCCUCCUCCCCUGUUCUCCCCCCUUUCCUAUUUCAACACACAGAAAUGCCAGUUUUAACAGAGCCGACUUAGAAAGGCAGCAAGCAUAGCAAGCAUGAAGGUCUGAGUAUUAAUCUGGAAAUAAGAUGAAUAAAUAGCCUUGGGAGAAUGCUUGCCUGCUAUCUCUCCAGCCACAGCUCCUUGCCUCUCUGGGGAAUUGCUGCUCCACGUACAAAUCAGUUACUCCACUGAAAUUAUUUCCCUUCUCCAUGGGCCCAAUCUCCAGGGCCCACGCUACCUCCUGAAUCCACAUCCCAAGCCAAGACCUGAAGAAGGAACCUGGGUCCCAGGCAGCACAGGGCCACCCUUCCCUUCAGUAGGUCUCCAGAGUGUACAGCCAAGGACUCAGUAGAGGAUCUCAGUGUUCCCACCCCAGUGUGGACACAGCCAGUGCCCGUUUUCUCUUUAGUCUCUGUUUUCCUUUUGACUCCUCCGAGAGGUCCAUCGAGUGGCUGAGUGUCAGGCUGGGAGACAGAAAAUAGGAGAACAACCUUCAUGCCAGUGCCUUAAAAUAAAGGUUUGAGCUUCUGAGAAUUAGGGUAAUGGAAAUACCUGCAAUCAGACAGCUUCAGAGAGGAACAGUUCGAGAGAAAUCAAGGCUCAGAGGAUGGACUGGUGUCAACAGUCCUGUCAUCAACAAGAGAAUCCUUCUGAAACCGCUCAUUCACCUCUGCAGGAAAACUGGUCCUCCAAAGCAAGGAGCAGCAGCUAAAAUCAAUGCACAGCCCAAGCUGAGCGGAGAGGUUUUAAUCAAUCUGAGAAGCCAUUUAUUGUGAAGAUCCAACAAAGCGACAGAUAUUAUCACUAUUACACAUGAAACUGGAACAUGGAAAACAAAAAAGGAGCAGUGAGCUCUUGCUUUGAGGGGGCUGGAAAGUGUACCUGUUGUUUCUCUCUGAGACUUAAUAGCAGCAUAGCAAGAGACGAUAAAUCAAGGAGGGGAGAUUGGGGAUGAUUCAGUCCCAACUACUCAUCAAUGCCGAGUUUAGAACAGGAAUGAAUUUGCUUCCCUAAGCUUAGGAAGGAGAAGACAGCGCAGUCCUUAAGGUGAGUGAUGUUUUCCAUUGAGAGACCUGGGUGAAAUAUGGAGGAGCUGUGAGCAGGUUGGCUCCUGGCUGAAAGGACAGUGUAUGGGGGCAGAUAUCUGGGGCAUGGACGAAGAGUAAAUAAAUAUCUUAUGUAUCCAUCUGAGCCGCAAGAGAGAAUUGGCCAUUUUUCUUUCCCUCAGUGGGGUUUUGAGAAACUGGAGCUUCAAAUGCACUUCUUCCAGAGAGAGACACCCGCUGAGUUUCUGUCCCAUUCUGUGGGGGAUUUGCCUGGCCCAGUUCUACACUGGCCUCACAACAGCAAAACAACUUCUGAUUACUUUGACCCAACCAACCUAGAAUUUCAGCAAUCAGCAUCCCUUGCACCAAGUGCCAGAAACAAGUUAAGACUCCCUCAUUGUCAGCGUUCCAUUUUAUUACUGCAGUACCUGCAGCUUGGAGAAAAAAAGAAAGGCUGCAUUGUUCUGUGGAGCCCUCAUAUUCACUUCAGCUUGCUGCAUCAGAACGGGCAGCUGCAUGUAGAGGACAGCAAUAUAUGGAAGACUGACCCUAACCCUAACCCUAACCCUAACCUUGUUGGUAGACAUGUGGGCAGGAAGGAGAAGUGCUCUAGAAGCUCACCUGGACAUGCCUGGGGCAGAUCCAUCUCUUGUCUUUUUGGUUUGCUUUGGUGCCGAGCAGGACCUAAGUGCUCUUUAUACGUGGAAAGUCAUGGCUGGAUCUCCUUUCAUUAAACACUGACAAUGCAGUGCAACAGGAGCUGCUACCUUGCUGCCUUCCUGCCUUGUCCUGACUCCUUUCAGCACAUAUGUAUUUUCUGUCCUCAUUUUCACUCCAAAUCUUUCUCCAAAACCGUGGCUGUGAGAAGCGAACAGACUGAACAAGCACAUGAGAACUGCAGAAAACCCAAACACAACAAAACAGUCAUUAAUCUCUCUUUAAGGUAUCUUUUCCCCCGUGCCCUCCCCAAAACAGGAGCAAGGAGGAGGGAAGAUCCCAGAAGAACAGCCUAACUAUAAAAAUAUAAGUGCGGUUGCUAAAAGCCCAAUCUAUUUUCAAAUGAUGUGCUCUAAUGGAAUGUUGCUGUACAUCUUUUGAUGAGACAGGAGUCUAUUUAAAAAGACAGGCGCUUUCGUAUGUGCUUUUAAACCCCGUCUGUCAAUUAGAACAACAUCAAGGGUUCAGUGGCUGGGAAAAAAGAUGACAGUAAUGAAAAGCUGGGAGGGCAGCAGAAGAAAAGAAAGAUAAAGACAAAAAAAAAAUAGAAAAAAGAAGACAGGAUGAAAAGAAAGAAAUCUGUAUUAAAGAAAAAAAAAAGUAAUGAAAGCAGAGCAGAAUGAAGAUUCACAAAGAUUAGGGCAGAAUAAAGAUCUAUGGAACAAGAUUGCACUCAUUUGUUCCCCCCAAAUUCUAUAUUCAUUCAUAACCAAGAAGGAGGCUGAACACAGGGAGAGCAGCAAACACAAUGCCUCUCAAAAUCUGAUUCGCUGCAUUACUCAGCAUCUCGAGAGCAGGGGGAGAAAAUGGUGCUCAGCCCCUCCCUGGAUGGACCCUGUGCUGGAGGCUCUCCCUGCAGCCCCACUAAAGAUGCAUACAAAUGCAGGGGGGUAAUUUAAUCUCUGAGAGGCACUUGGACACUAAGGGGAGGAGCACUGAAGGGAAGAAGCCCAUGAGGAAAUUUAUAACUGGUAUUAAGCAUAGCAGUGUGAGAGCAGUAAGGAAGGCACUGGGCCACAAACUGAGCACAAGAGGAAACAAAACAUGGGAAUGGUGCUCCUUGGAGAAGAGGUCAGGCAAUGCAGUGCUGUGGGUGGGCACAGUGUUGGAGGUGGGUGCAGCGCACAGUCACCUCUGGGCAUGAGGAGCAGCUCCUGCCAUGCUAAUGGUGCUUCUAAAAUAGUUGUGAACAUAGCAGUUCCAUCAUUAAAAAUAAAAAUAAAAAAUACUAAAC